rnacentral:rRNA from 1 species
AGUGAACGCUGGCGGUAGGCCUAACACAUGCAAGUCGAACGGCAGCACAGUAAGAGCUUGCUCUUACGGGUGGCGAGUGGCGGACGGGUGAGGAAUACAUCGGAAUCUACUUUUUCGUGGGGGAUAACGUAGGGAAACUUACGCUAAUACCGCAUACGACCUACGGGUGAAAGCAGGGGAUCUUCGGACCUUGCGCGAUUGAAUGAGCCGAUGUCGGAUUAGCUGGUUGGCGGGGUAAAGGCCCACCAAGGCGACGAUCCGUAGCUGGUCUGAGAGGAUGAUCAGCCACACUGGAACUGAGACACGGUCCAGACUCCUACGGGAGGCAGCAGUGGGGAAUAUUGGACGAUGGGCGCAAGCCUGAUCCAGCCAUACCGCGUGGGUGAAGAAGGCCUUCGGGUUGUAAAGCCCUUUUGUUGGGAAAGAAAAGCAGCAGGUUAAUACCCCGCUGUUCUGACGGUACCCAAAGAAUAAGCACCGGCUAACUUCGUG